rnacentral:misc_RNA from 1 species
GAUGAAGAACGUAGCGAAAUGCGAUAAGUAAUGUGAAUUGCAGAAUUCAGUGAAUCAUCGAAUCUUUGAACGCACAUUGCGCCCGUCAGUGUUCUGGCGGGCAUGCCUGUUCGAGCGUCAUUACGCCCCUCAAGUCCCCUGUGGACUUGGUGUUGGGGAUCGGCGAGGCUGGUUUUCCAGCACAGCCGUCCCUUAAAUUAAUUGGCGGUCUCGCCGUGGCCCUCCUCUGCGCAGUAGUAAAACACUCGCAACAGGAGCCCGGCGCGGUCCACUGCCGUAAAACCCCCCAACUUUUUAUAGUUGACCUCGAAUCAGGUAGGACUACCCGCUGAACUUAAGCAUAUCAAUAAGCGGAGGA